CCUACGGGGCGCUGCAGUGGGGGAUAUUGCACAAUGGGGGGAACCCUGAUGCAGCGACGCCGCGUGGGUGAAGGAGUGCUUCGGCAUGUAAAGCCCUAUCGGCAGGGAAGAAGCAAGACGGUACCUGACUAAGAAGCCCCGGCUAACUACGUGCCAGCAGCCGCGGUAAUACGUAGGGGGCGAGCGUUAUCCGGAUUCACUGGGUGUAAAGGGAGCGUAGACGGCCAUGCAAGCCAGGGGUGAAAGCCCGGGGCCCAACCCCGGCGAGCCGUUGAAACUGGCUGUCUUGAGAUGUCGAGAGGUAUGCGGAAUGCGCAGUGUAGCGGUGAAAUGCUUAGAUAUUGCGCAGAACUCCGAUUGCGAAGGCAGCAUACCGGCGGCGAUCUGACGCUGAGGCACGAAAGCGUGGGUAUCGAACAGGAUUAGAUACCCCGGUAGUC
rnacentral:rRNA from 1 species